rnacentral:rRNA from 1 species
CGCGUAGGCGGGAAUAUAAGUCUGUCUUAAAAGUGCGGGGCUCAACCCCGUGAUGGGACAGAAACUAUAUUUCUUGAGUACCGGAGAGGAAAGUGGAAUUCCCAGUGUAGCGGUGAAAUGCGUAGAUAUUGGGAGGAACACCAGUGGCGAAGGCGACUUUCUGGACGGUGUCUGACGCUGAGGCGCGAAAGCCAGGGAAGUGAACG